GAUGAACGCUAGCGGCAGGCCUAAUACAUGCAAGUCAAGGGGCCCAGCAAUGGGCACCGGCGGACGGGUGCGUAACGCGUACACAACAUACCUUUAAGUGGGGGAGAGCAUUGGGAAACUGGUGGUAAUACCCCAUAAUAAUAUUGGGAGGCAUUUCCUGAUAUUUAAAGCUCCGGCGCUUAGAGAUUGGUGUGCGUCCGAUUAGCUAGUUGGUGGGGUAACGGCUCACCAAGGCGACGAUCGGUAGGGGGUGUGAGAGCAUGACCCCCCACACGGGUACUGAGACACGGACCCGACUCCUACGGGAGGCAGCAGUAAGGAAUAUUGGACAAUGGAGGGAACUCUGAUCCAGCCAGGCCGCGUGAAGGAUGAAGGCGCUCAGCGUUGUAAACUUCUUUUGGAUGGGAACAAUAACUUCUACGUGUAGGAGCUUGAGGGUACCAUCAGAAUAAGCACCGGCUAACUCCGUGCCAGCAGCCGCAGUAAAAC
rnacentral:rRNA from 1 species